rnacentral:lncRNA from 1 species
UUUCUACAGUGUGUGUGUGUGUAUACAUCGAUUAUGCUUUCUUCAGGUGGGUGUGUGUAUACGCAUUGCUUUCUCAGGUGUGUGUGUGUAUACAGCAGUUGCUUCUCCGUUGUGUGUGUGUGUGUAUACAGUGAUAUGCUUUCUCAGGUGUGGUGUAUCUGCAGUGAUAUGUUUUAUCAGGUGUGUGGUGUGUGUAUACAGCGAUAUGCUUUUCUCAGGUGUGUGUGUGUAUACAGUGAUAUGCUUUCUCAGGUGUGUGUGUGUGUAUACAGCGAUGCUUUCUCAGGUGUGUGUGUGGUAUACAGCGAUAGCUUUCUCAGGGUGUGUGUGUUCAGCAUAGUUUCUCAGGUGUGGUGUUGUAUACAGCGGUAUGCUUUCUCAGGUGUGUGUGUGUUACAGCAUAUGCUUUCUCAGGGUGUGUGUUGAUACAGCGGUAUGCUUUCUCAGGUGUGUGUGUGUGUGUUACAGCAGAUAUGCUUUCUCAGGUGUGUGUGUUGUAUACACGAUUGCUUUCUCAGGUGUGUGUGUGUAUACAGCGAUAUGCUUUCUCAGGUGUGUGUGUGUAUACAGCAUAUGCUUUUCUCAGGUGUGUGUGUGUCUGCAGCGAUCUGCUUUCUCAGGUGGUGUGUGUGUAACGUGAUAUGCUUUCUCAGGUGUGUGUGUUGUAUACAAGCAAUAUGCUUUCUCAGGUGUGUGUGUGUUACAGCGUCUGCUUUCUCAGGUGGUGUGUGUGUAUACCGUGUAUGCGUUUCUCAGGUGUGUGUGUAUCUGCAGUGAUAUGUUUUCUCAGGUGUGGUGUGUGUCAUCACGAUAUGUUUUCUCAGGUGGUGUGUGUAUCUGCAUGAUAUGUUUUCUCAGGUGUGUGUGUAUCUGCAGUGAUAUGCUUUCUCAGGUGUGUGUGUAUCUGCAGUGAUAUGCUUUCUCAGGUGUGUGUGUAUCUGCAGUGAUAUGCUUUCUCAAGUGUGUGUGUAUCUGCAGUGAUAUGUUUUCUCAGGUGUGUGUGUGUGUAUACAGCAGUCUGCUUUCUCAGCCCUGGGUCAGACUGAGUGGAGGUUACAAGAAGAGCAGAACAGUCAGGAAGUGAGACUGAUAUCACCAUAGUAAGUAGUGU